rnacentral:lncRNA from 1 species
ACUUCCGGUUUCCUUUCCCUCAGCUUUUCCAUGGCUUUUCGUGUGGACAAAUCGGGAGGUGGUGUGAACUGGUUUUCGGUGAAAUUCGGCUGGGCCUCACGCUGUCCUAUCUAGGUCCGUCUCUGGACUGGCCUGUCAUCGAUCGCGCCCUCCAUCGCUGAGCGACACAAGUGGAACCCCCCAGGACUGCAUUCUGCGAAACUACCCUGCCUUUCCCCCAGUUUUGGUCUGUGAACACAUUUGGGAAAUUCUCCUGAUCCUACCUCUACUCUCUUGAGAGAGAGAAACAAGGGGAAAAAAAGUUAAUUGCCUGAGGAUACACUGCUAGUGUUGCGGGACAAAUAGAGACGGGAGAGGCCAAACAGAGUUCAGGAGAACCCUUUAUUAUUAAGGUGAUCACUGGCUUAGUCGGACUAGAGUCCAGAAGGUCUGAGACCGGAACAAAGGGAUCAAUCACCUUUUAAGCAGUUUGUGGCGGAAGUUUGGUGCUACAGGAAGCCUACUUGCAGAAGCAAGAACAAAGGCAGUUAAUUAUUCUUUUACAUUU